UACGGAGGGUGCAAGCGUUGCUCGGAAUUAUUGGGCGUAAAGGGUAGGUAGGUGGUCUUAUUUGUCUGGGGUGAAAGCCUUGAGCUUAACUCAAGAAGUGCCCCAGAAACGGUAAGACUAGAGUCUUGGAGAGGGUCGUGGAAUUCCCGGUGUAGCGGUGAAAUGCGUAGAUAUCGUAAGGAAGACCAGUGGCGAAGGCGGGUCUCUGGACAGUUCCUGACGCUGAGGCACGAAGGUCAGGGGAGCAAACGGG
rnacentral:rRNA from 1 species